ACUAAGGACCAGCUUGCAGCUUGCAGCACCUCCUGGGUCAACAGCAAUGGCGGCCGAGUUGUCUGAGCGGUUGUUUUCGCUGGAACUGCUCGUCGAUUGGGUACGCCUUGAACCCGGGCUGCUGCAGCAGCCCGUAGUCGCGCUGGAGGAGCAGGAGGAGAAAGAGGAGGCGGAGGCAGAAGAGGCAUCGCAGCCGCGGCGCUCGCGCGGUCUGUGUCUCGCCGUGGCCUUCCGCCUGCUGGACUUCCCCACGCUGCUGGUUUACCCUCCCGGCGGCCCCGCCUCCCCCUCUCCCGAACCUCGACCGGGCCUGGUCAGCUUCGGUCGCGGCAAAUCCUGUCUCUUCCGCCUGCACCCCGCCACCCUGCACCGCCUGCUUCUUCAGACGCCGCUUUACACCUUGCUGCUGCAGCUCCCCCCUGGGCGCCCGACUCCUGCCCCGCUGCUCCUGGGGGCCUGCAGCAUCUCUCUGGCCGCUGCAGCCCGCAGGGUCCUGGGGCCCGCCGCCUCCGGCUGCUCCCAGGGUCAUCAAGGAAGCUUCCCUCUGCAUAACCAAGAGGGGGAGCGGAUUGGGGACAUUGCCCUGGGCUACCGUCUGACUGAUCUGGGAAGCAGCUUGUUGGGUCAUCUGGAGCGGCCAGUCUCUUCCACGGGAGUCGGAGUGGCAGUAGAGGUCAGUUCCCAGACCUUGCAGGAGAAACAGCAGCCGAAGCAGCUGAACUCAGAGCCACACCCAGGAGAUGCUGAUAAGCCUCUGGUGGAUGUGAACAUCUCAACAGCACAGAAGGAUUUGAAGGACCACAGUAAGGCCAAGUCUGGUAACACAGGUUCUGUGGAGAAUGGCAAAACCAACUCUCUUAUUUGUUCAAAUGCUAGCAGUGAGAGGCGCGUUAGCCCCCCAGAUCAGGAAGAGACAGAGUUGGACAUGGAAACCAACAUAAUUUGCCCUCCUCCUCUGUAUUACACUCAUCUGACCCAAGAAAAGACACCUCCUAAACAGGGUAAAAUUACUAUUGAGGCUCAAAUGAACGCAUCUGAGGAAUUGGAUGGUACUUUUCCUGAAGAAAAACUUGUAAAUCCCCCAGCACAUACUAAUCCUUCAGAACAUACAAAUUCUACAACGCAGGAGAGGCCUCCAGGGCUUAUAAAUCUUCCACAUGUUCAGGAUACAGAAGCCAGUAACCAAACUACAUACCCUCCUCAGAGUGAACAAAAUAGAAUUAAUACUAUAAGGCAGCUGCCUUUGUUAAAUGCUUUGUUGGUUGAGUUGUCCCUGUUAUACAGCCAACCCAUGGCAAGCCCUACUCAUAUACACCCUCACUUAGCCUGGUUAUAUAGAACUGAGGAUAAGAGGUCACCAGAAUUUUCUGCCAAAUCCACAUGUAAAUCCGAAUCAAAGAAGGAUGAGCUUUUUCUGGGGGAAAAGGAAAAGACAGUGAGUCUUCAGUAUAGAAGGAGCCAAACUGAAAAUCUCAAGAAAGGUAAACAUUUUGAAAAGAAAGGUGGUGCCCUCCCAAAAAGAGUUCCAAAGGGAAAGCUACUUUAUGGCUUAACAAAUACACUUAAACUACGUUUAAAGCAAACAAACCCUGGUAUGUUGGCAGUACACGAAAAGAGAGAACAGUAUAGAAAAAUGCAAGCCCAGAUGUUAGAUGCAAAACUCAGAAUUCCAUCAUCCAAAGUUAAGGUAUUCAGUUUUGCAGAACAACAUCAACUGCCUAAAGAUAAGAAUGAAUCAGAUGCAUUUUUUGCUGAAAAUAGUGAUACCUCAAAGCAAAUUAGUGUAGUUUUGGAUCACCCCAGCACAACUCAAGAAACUCAGCUGAAAUGUGCAACUGAAAAGACAGUUGAUUGUGGUGAAAAUAGAACCAGUGAUGAUUUAUUGGAAGAAAUUGUGGGUUCUUCAAAUUCGGUUGUCUCAGAAAAGUUUGUUCAUGCAGACAUUCUGAAAGGGGAAGUGAAAGUCCACAGUUUGGGUGUUUUCCAAGAGGUUGCACUUGUUGACAGAACUAUAGUAGGUGAAGAGCUAGGUGAUAAGCAGGUCAGAACCAUUGAUAAUGACAUUCCUACUGCUGAUGCAUAUAUGAGUGAAAAGAAUCCAAGUAAAAGUAGUUGCUGUGAAAGCAUCUCAGAGAUGAAGUAUUCAGAUGACUUCACCAGCCCUUGCUGUUCUGAAGACAGCAACAGAAUUUUACAAGUUCGUGAUAACAGUCCAGGGACAGAAAAUCCAAAGCAUAGUCAACAUACAAGUAAGUCGAGUGAAACAAGAUUGUCCAUGAGGAAAAAUAGCAGUGAACAGAGUUCUAUUCUUAGCCCACCUUUUUCAGCUGGAUCACCAUUACUCUCAAAUAAAAGAUUUCACUUUGCAAAGACUGAAGAUAAAAGUUUGGAGGAAGCAUCUCAUAUCUCUACUAGUGAUUUCUCUUCAUCACUUCAGACUGAGGAAAAAGAAAACCAGACAGUUAUGCACGAAGUUAUAAAAAGGGAUCAAGGCAGCUCUACUGAACUUAAAACAAGAACUGGUUGCAAGUCCUCAGAAAAAAGCCAGUCACCUCGGACAUCUCAAAAUGUAAAUGUUUGUCAUUCCUUUGGUGGGUAAAUAGGAUUCUACCACUGAAUCUGACAAAGAUCAUGCGGUCACCUUAUAACCUAGGUGUCCUCAGAUUUCUUUUCCAAGAUCCAGGACCCUCAGCUGAUGCCAGCUCCAGCCUAAGUGAGCAAUGGAGAAGCUGUCACUGCCCAUUAUAUUUUGGAUGGUGCCUGGGGACUCCCCUAGUUUUGAGGAAAGUUGGCAACAGAAAAAGGAACAUCUGAGGAAGGAGCCGUCAGCAAGGUCCGGGGGUGAGUGACGUUUUACUUGUCCACACACCCCUCUCACCAGAGGGGACUUCAUGUGACCUUCAAAAUAUACAUAUAUCAGAAUUUGGAGACUACAUCAGAGUGAGGGUAAAAUAAGGAUGAAAAGAAUUCAUGAAGGGAGUUUCCUGGUGGCUCAGUGGGUUAAGGAUCUGGUGUUGUCCCUGCUGUGGCUCAUGUUCCUGCUGUGGCUCAUGUCACUGCUGUAGUGUGGGUUCAGUCUCUGGCCUGGGAUUUAUGUAGGUCACUGGGGUGACCAAAAAAAAAAAAAAAAAGAAUUCAUGAAGCACUAACUGGGCACACAAUUUCCUUUUAGUCAAGUCAAUCAGGAAACCAGUGAUAUGAACCCCAUUGUUAAUGAGAGAAUUCAGACAUGGUCUGAUAUUUUGAGCUGGCCCUCACCCACUGCCUGAUGCAGAUCCUGGGGUGAGCGGGGAUAUCGGGCUGGAAGUCAGGACCCCCUGAGGUCUGGUGUGACACAGAUGGGCCCCCUUAGCCCAACUGCCUAAGGGGGACCAAACAGACUGAGCCCGUCUUGAAUGUGCUGCCUAGUCCAAGGGACGUGGAAACAUCAUCGGUAAGACUGCUCCUUACCUGUGGGCCCUGAGGGGUUUUUGAAAAAGUACCAAGGGUUCUUUCGAGGUAACCAAAACCUGAGUUGCUCUCCUUAGAAAGGAGACCUUUACCUGAAGGCUGCCCUCAGGUAAGGGCCAUGGGAUCAGUAGAGAGACACGGGAGAUUGGCCAGCAGGCCCAUGCCUGGCUGGGGUUGGGGUCAAGCUCCUUGUCCGGGGCCCACUGAUGGGAGGGAUGUGCACCACCAAUCCCAGGAAGGUCCUGGACCAUAUUUGGGAGGGAGGCUGAAGUCACAGGACCACAUCGGGACAGAAGACCAUCAGUGAGCUUGCUGCAGGAGGCUCCUGCACCCCUGCAUGGCUCCAGACCCCUGGUUCUGAAGAAGGGAAAGAGCACACUGGUCCUGCACAGGCACUGGAACUGGACAGACUGGACCCUGCAUCAGCAGCAGUGGGCUGCAUGGCAGCCCAGAGCAGGAACCAUCUCUUGGGCUCCUUCAGUGAAAAUGACUUAUGUAUUUGCUACUCUUUAGCUGCAGCUAACAGAAAACUCAGUUAACCCGGACUUAAACAGAACAGGUGCUGUUCCUAUCACACAGCUAGGGUCCCAGGCUGUGCAGUCCAGCAGGGUCUCAGCAGUGUCACCAAGGACUCGGGCACUUUCUUUUCCACCGUCUUUGAUUUGUACCUCUCAUCCUCAUGCGUCCUGUCCAGGGUUUGUGUCUGCCAUCCUGCUGGGAAGACGGCAGAGCAGACAAAGCCUUCUGCUGUGAAGCUUUGUUACUUUCUCCAAAGGAGAAGAAAUUUCAUCUGACCUCUCAUUAGGCCGAAGGGCAUCACGUGGUCAUCCCUAGCAGCAAGGAUGGCAGCCCUCCGUUAAAUUAGAGAAGGACGGGGGAAGGGUCCUAGUCGGCAUGGUGGUGGUCAUUGCACAUCGCUUGUCCCAAGCCAGCAACAUAGCUCUAUCUUGAAAGCAUUCUGCCCACUGCCUGGAACACGGAAAGCGUGCUGCUACUCAUGCCACCGAUCAGAGCCCCCCCCCCUCCAAACACCAAGUGGCUGCCUGGACCCAAGGAAUUUGUCAGAUGUCCCAGAUUUUCCAGAUUGGUCACAGUGUAAACUGUUUAUUGACUGAACAUGUAAUAAAGAUAUGAAUCCUGGUUUGGGCUUCAGAAAAUAUGAUGACCACACUAUGAAGCAGUUCUGCUGACAGGGUUGAAGACAAUUAAUUGGUAUGGUUUUCAAUGAAUCGACAUAUAAGCUCAGGGAAUGGAAGAAGUAUAUCCUUGAGGCAUUUCUAUAUAGAAAUAUAACAAUCCAGUCACUGGGCUUUGAAAAACCAGAAGCUUUAAAUCUCUUAGGAAAAUCUAGGCCUUAAGGAAAGAGUCAGGUGUUUUUCUU